rnacentral:misc_RNA from 1 species
CCUCUCCCCUCCAUUGCCCUCCAUCCAAACAAAUGAUAGAGUUUCAAAUCAAGCAAAUCUUUUACUUUAAAACUUAUUUGCUUUCCAAAGUGAAAGAUAGAAAUCCGACAAUAAUGGUGUUUCAAGGGCAAGUAAUCUUUGUUUCAAUACAAUUAAGUUCAAGUUUCACAAGCUUGGGUGCAUAAUGGUCACAGAAUGUGGAGAAUUUGACACUGUCCAUCGACACGUUCUAAGGUGAAAGAGAAGGAUCUUAGGUUCUUUAAGUUCCCCAACUCCUAUCAAAUUGAGAACUUGGAGACAAGGGAAGCAAUGAUUAGCCUUGCUUAGGUCCUCAUCAUCUAGUCUUGUAGAUUCGAGUGUUAUACUUGUAAGCACAGGCAGCGGAUUCAAACCAUCUACCGAUGGCCAAGCAUUCUUCACCUCAACUUUGCGAAGACUAUGACCUGAACAUGCAGACAUAAAAGAACCGAAUUAUUCUUCCGAAAUUGAUAAAACUACAUCCAAAUAACAGAAACUGAACAAAGACCAUCAAAUUAACCAAUAAAUCGGAACUCACAGCAAGAAGAAACCAAAGCCAAAAUAUCAGAUCGUCUCCAACAAGAUUGAAUCCAAAAAUCCGAAAUGGACAGUGAUCUUAUCUCCCUACAACCUUCGGCAGCCUCUCGUUCACGAACCCCACGUCGGCAGAAUCUUCCUCGACGUCGUCGUACGAUAUUUAGCGGAGCGACUUCUCCAUGCCAUCGAGAUGGAUUCGAGGGUCAACGAAUUGAGGACCUGGCUGUUAAAUAUGGUAUUUGGUCUCCGGUGACCUCAACUUGAGAUAUCGAGAUGAGGUGCAGAGGAGGUUGAUGGACCAGGCCUCGCGAGAGAGUGUGUUAAAGCUCUUAGAGAUGAGUCGGCACCUAGCGAGAUCGGCUGAAUCGGUGAGUCGACUCAUGAUAUUGAGGAGCAGAGGCGAAGACUUAGUGACGGAGAAAAAC